AAAAAGUUUACGUUAAACUAGUGUUUUAUAUAUUAUAUAGAUUAGGCCCAUCAAUUUAAAACCCAACACCCAUUAUCCUCCAUUAAAAACUCACUCCCUCUCCCUACUUCAGCACACACACACGCACACAAAACACGCACUCACACACCAGCCACCCUCUCUCUCUCUCGCCUUCUGCUGCGCCGCCCAGCGCCUUCCCUCUCUCUCUCUAACCCCUCUCACCCUCUCGACCAGACGGCCAUCGGUGAAGAUCGCCGACGCCAACCCUGCCCCAGCGAGCAGCCAGCCGCCGCCGCUACACCGGACGCCGUCUCCUCCAGCCCGGCGCUGUCCCCCUUCUCUUCUUUCUUCGGCCGGCAGCAACGACUGCUGUCGCCGUCAUCUUGGCGGACAACAGAGCUGCUCCGCCGCCUCCUCCCUUUUACCCCAGAUCUGGCGCCGCCGCCGCGCCUGUUUCUCCGGCGAGGGCGCUGCCUACCUUCACUCCACAUCGGCGCCGUUCAGACGCCCACUCCCCUGUCUACUCUAAGCCUCAACCCACUUCCUCUUCUUCUAUUUUCCAUUCUAAAUUUCUAAUUUCUUUUCUGUAAAAGGGUAGUAGAAUUCUACUCUCUACGUUUUUCUCGUGAUUUAGAAGAUUGUUUGAUCAGAAGCAUGUGUGUGCUGGAUUUGAUUCGAGAACAAAAUUAUUUAGAAAGGCCUGUUAUGUCUCUGUGCAAUAUAAAAGAAGAGAAACUAGAAUCUCUGUGCAAUAUAAAAGAAGAGAAACUAGAAUUGCUUCGAUGAUUUAAAAUCACAGAAAAUAAAUUUACCAACUGAAGUUCUAUAGAAGGAGAUGAUCGAAGAGAUUUGAGCAAGUUUGAGGUUUCACAGGAAUUUCAGAGAUGAAAAAUGGUAAAGGCUGAUGGAGAUGAGGUAAUUUAAAUGAGAUAAGAAUUGGAGUGAUACGUGGCUGAAAAAAAUGGUGAAGUAAAAGAUUAGGUGGCUAUUGGAAUUGAACAGCACGUCAAACUACAUCUCAGAACUAAAAUCAAACAAACAUUCAUUCACCAAAUUUAUACAUAAGCUGGUCAAAUAUAUACGAACUCUUGGCCAAAAAAUAUAAAGAGGUCCAAUGUGUACUACCAGGCCCAAUGUAAAAUAAAAUGCUUAACAUAAUAGAUUAUUAGGCCCAAAUUUAAAGGAGAAGUAAGGAUAUAAAUUUCUAUAUUUAUAGACAUUAAUCUAUAAUUCAAAGUCUUAUAUCCAACUAGGAGCGCGACUAGAAAAUUCAUAAACUGAGUAUAAUAAAAUUUUCAAUGACUUCAUAAGUUCAUAACAAUUAAAAUUUAAAUAAUUCAAAGAUAAAUAAUUUUAAAUAAAUAAAUUAAGUGCGGGCUGACACUUUUCAAGGGAACCAUUCGGCAUGAAAUCAAAUAUGAGGGCAUGUUUGGAUCUUUCAGCACAAUAUCCAACAAGCUUUACAAUGUUCACAUGAUGGAUCCUCCCGAUGGUUCCAAUUUCAUUGAUGAAGUCUUUCCCAUUUGCCCCGGAUUUUCCGACAGUUUGACUGUUACGUGAUGCCCAAUUCGGAGCUUUCCUUUGUAAACAGAAUCGAACCCUCGUUGGCCUAAUUUUUCUCUAAACCUCUAGUCAUCUUCUUUACAUCCGAAUAUGAGUACCUGAUUGAUGAGAGUUUGUUGUCACUAUGUAGGAAGCUUUCUAUUUUGUCGUACACCGACAAGCAUCUUCUUUGAAACUUGUAGAUCAAGAAGCCCAUUCCGCAAACAAUUCCAAUGAUGAAUCUUACUACAUAACUUACAACUACCAUUAAAAAAUAAUAGUAAUAAUAAUUAAGGAGAAGAAGAAUAUUGAAUAAAUAAAUAGAAGUUACUUUAUAAAGACCACAACUUGAAAUAUAAAAGCAUAUGUGAUGAGCGCACCAAUGAUACGUUGAAUAUCUCUGCGAUACCCUACAAGUAGUCCACAAACAUGAUAGCAAGAUAAGUUUAAAACAAUCCCGUUUCAGAUUUGCCAACUAAUCUCAUCACUAGUUUUCAAUUACUUUAUUUACACAAAAUAAUCGAUACAUUAUUCAAUUCUGUAAAAUACCAAGAUGUUGUGUGCACAUAUACUCUAUAUCCGUGUAGCUCAAUUUCCCAACCUUUAUGUAAGUAUGUGUGCUAGAUUGCUCACAAUCAGUGACUUGGGUUAAGAGAGAAGACUUAUGCACCGGAUACUGACAGCUCAAGAAAUUAAUAUUCUGAGUUGAAAUAUAGCCAAUGGUAUAAGGAUAAUGCAGGAAAAGAGCAGGUGUUGUUUAUGGAAAAAAGAUCAGCAGCAAGCCUGAUGGUGAAGGAUUGGUAAUCGAUUGCUUUGACAAGAUAUUUGUGGGAGUUGGGCACAUAAAGUGUGGUAACAUUAUCUUCGCAUACUAAUUCGUACUGUGGAUCACCGCAGUUGAUGGGAUCAUUCUUGAGGCGGAAAGGAGAGCUUAUACUGGUAAUCAAUUUGCAUUACAAGUAUCUAAGGACAGAUUUUAUAUGAGGAAUUCCAACAGAUUUUAUGUUCAUGUGAAGCAAAAUAAGCUUGACUGCUUAGGGUAUCCAAAAUGAGUAAAAUGAUUCAGAUUAAUGUGGUGUAUAGGGCCUGACAAUAAUAAAAUUAUUAUUGUGACACCCAAAUCCAAUUUAAUUUUAAAUGAAAACGCACGCGGAAAAAUCAUGACUAUAAAUAAAUAUUUAAUGUGAAAAUAAAGAAAUAAAUAUCUUAUUUUAAAAUACUUUACUAAACAUAACAUUUUUAAGAAAAACUAAAUUCAAAAUAUUUGAUUCGCCAUUCGACCUUCCACGUGCCUCCGACCUUUAAAACCUGAAAAUGUUAAAUAUGGGAUGAGCAUACAGGGUACACUCAGUAUGAGAACAUGCAAUAAUUGUCCAUGUUAAUAAAAUGGUAACACAUAUGAUCAUAACAUUUCAUAGCAUUUGCUCGCACGGUCGCAUACCAAGGACCUUUUCGUCCUAUACCCAUUCAACGGGCCCUGGGGAUAAUUAAAUGGUUGCAACCUUAAUUUUUACAUUUAAUCGCAUUGUGGCAUACCAAGGACCUUUCCGUCCUGGACCCAUUCAACGGGCCCCUAGCGAUAUCCUCAAAAUAUACGUUAUAAACAUAUGGUAAACACAUAAUAUUAAAAUGGACAAAAUUAACACGGCAUGUAUAAAUAAAUCCCACACCUGAAUUUGAACUUCAAUUGAAUAAUAUCUUAGUAAUUAAAUCAAAUCAGUCCUAGUCGCGCCGCACUAGUCAAAUAAAUUCAAAUAACCAAUAUAAGGGCCUAAUUGAAAUUUAGAAGUAAUAUAAAUAUAAAUAUAGUAUAAACAAUAACCAAAUGGCUAAUGAAAUUAGUAAUAAAUAUAAAUAUUAAGAUUAUUUUAUAAAAACCAAAAAAAAUGUGUCAAUGCUACUUUAUGAUAAUAAAUGGCAAUCAACCCAAAAUAAAAUAAAACUUACCCCAAAGUCCAUGAAUUAAAAAGCCCAACACCCAUUCUUCUCCAUUAAAUCUAGCUGCCUCUCUCUCUAACUCACUACACACACACGCACACUCUCACACACACACUCACACACCAGCGCACCCUCUAUCUCCCUUGUCUUCCGCCGCCGCCGCCCGACGUCUCCCUCUCCUUCCCAGCCUCCCUUCCCCUCUCCCUGACCCCUUUCUUCCCAGCCUUCCUCUCUCCCCCAACCUCUCCCUUCGUCGCGGCCAGACAGGCAUCUUGACGCAGGCCCCCUGCUCCGGCGAGCAGCCAGCCGCUGCCUCCUCUACUCCCGCCGUCAACAGCGCAGCUGUAGCACCGCUGGGACAGCAGCACCGCAGCAGCCACCAGGCGCCCUCUCUUCCUCUUCUAAACCCUAUGCCCCAAAUCCUCUUCAACUUCUUCUAUUUUCUAUUCCAAGUUUUCUAAUUUCCUUUCUGGAAAAGUAGUAGAAUUUUAUUCUAUUUGUUUUUCUCAUGAAUUAGGUGAAUGAUUUAGGAAAAUUGU
rnacentral:lncRNA from 1 species